GGUGCUAUUGUCUAGUGGUAGGACAAUACGUUGUGGUUUACGAGCUUCUAGGAGUCUGGAGUUCGAGACGACAUCCGUGUAAACGGCGGUUCGAUCCCGUCUAGCGCCA